AUUGAACGCUGGCGGCAUGCCUAACACAUGCAAGUCGAGCGGACGAAGGGAGCUUGCUCCUGGAUUCAGCGGCGGACGGGUGAGUAAUUCCUAGGAAUCUGCCUGGUAGUGGGGGAUAACGUCCGGAAACGGGCGCUAAUACCGCAUACGUCCUGAGGUAGAAAGUGGGGGAUCUUCGGACCUCACGCUAUCAGAUGAGCCUAGGUCGGAUUAGCUAGUUGGUGGGGUAAAGGCCUACCAAGGCGACGAUCCGUAACUGGUCUGAGAGGAUGAUCAGUCACACUGGAACUGAGACACGGUCCAGACUCCUACGGGAGGCAGCAGUGGGGAAUAUUGGACAAAGGGCGAAAGCCUGAUCCAGCCAUGCCGCGUGUGUGAAGAAGGUCUUCGGAUUGUAAAGCACUUUAAGUUGGGAGGAAGGGCAGUAAGUUAAUACCUUGCUGUUUUGACGUUACCAACAGAAUAAGCACCGGCUAACUUCGUG
rnacentral:rRNA from 1 species